CUUGAUGUUCUUUCUUGUGUGAUAUGUCUCUUGACUGCUUGCACAUAUGCCUUGGCUCGACUCUUUUUGAUAAUUCUUGAUUGAUAUGCAUGUUUGGAAGUGAUAAAGGCAGUUUUGUUCUUGAGCCUCUCUAGCCAGAUGAACCUACCCUGUUUUGAUCCUUUGAUAGCCCCUUUGCACCUAUGCUUUUCACAUUUCUUUGUUUUGAAGCUUAUACACUAGCCCUAAGUGAAAAACCAUGUGUACCUUAACCUUAGGGAAUUUUGGAGCUUUGGAAUUGUUUUGGGAAUAAGUGUGGUCUCGUGAGGAUUCUGAUGAGUUGGCUAGUUGGUUCCUCUUCUUAGUUAUUUUUGUAUAUAUGUGCACAUCUUGUCUCAUACGGUUUUGUUAUGAAAAGAGAAAAGAAAAAGAGACAAGAUAAGAAAAGGAAAAAAUACAAAAAAAUGAGAAAAAAAAAAAAAUUGUGUGAAUAAUGGAGUCAAGAAGAGGAUUGAAUUAGAGGUUUUGGGUCUGAAUUGAAUGUGUUUACACUUGUUCCCCAUUGCUCCUCUAUUUAUUUUGGUUUGUAGCUUCUCAUCC
rnacentral:lncRNA from 1 species